rnacentral:rRNA from 1 species
AUUGAACGCUGGCGGCAGGCCUAACACAUGCAAGUCGAGCGGAGCGUCGGACGAGGGGGUAAUGACUAGGAAUCUGCCUGGUAGUGGGGGAUAACGUAAGGAAGCGGGCGCUAAUACCGCAUACUAGCAGAUGAGCCUAGGUCGGAUUAGCUAGUUGGUGGGGUAAAGGCCUACCAAGGCGACGAUCCGUAACUGGUCUGAGAGGAUGAUCAGUCACACUGGAACUGAGACACGGUCCAGACUCCUACGGGAGGCAGCAGUGGGGAAUAUUGGACAAUGGGCGAAAGCCUGAUCCAGCCAUGCCGCGUGUGUGAAGAAGGUCUUCGGAUUGUAAAGCACUUUAAGUUGGGAGGCGUUACCAACAGAAUAAGCACCGGCUAACUUCGUGCCAGCAGCCGCGGUAAUUC